rnacentral:rRNA from 1 species
UAGUAACUGCGAGUGAGCGGGAAAAGCUCAAAUUUAAAAUCUGGUAGCCUCUGGCUAUCCGAGUUGUAAUCUAGAGAAGCAUUUAUCCGCGCUGGACCGUGUACAAGUCUCCUGGAACGGAGCGUCAUAGAGGGUGAGAAUCCCGUCUUUGACACGGACUUACCAGGGCUUUUGUGAUGUGCUCUCGAAGAGUCGAGUUGUUUGGGAAUGCAGCUCUAAAUGGGUGGUAAAUUCCAUCUAAAGCUAAAUAUUGGCGAGAGACCGAUAGCGAACAAGUACCGUGAGGGAAAGAUGAAAAGAACUUUGGAAAGAGAGUUAAACAGUACGUGAAAUUGUUGAAAGGGAAACGCUUGAAGUCAGUUGCGUCUAUUGGGGGUCAGCCUUGCUCUUUUGCUUGGUGUAUUUCCUGAUGGGACGGGUCAGCAUCAAUUUUGACCAAUGGAAAAAGGUCAUGGGAAUGUGGCAUCUUUUUGGAUGUAUUAUAGCCCUUGAUUGCAUACAUUGGUUGGGAUUGAGGAACUCAGCACGCCCGAAAAGGGUCGGGUCAUUGACCACGUUCGUGCUUAGGAUGCUGGCAUAAUGGCUUUAAUCGACCCGUCUUGAAACACGGACCAAGGAGUCUAACAUGCCUGCAAGUGUUUGGGUGGAAAACCCAUACGCGUAAUGANAAGUGAAAGUUGAGAUCCCUGUCGUAGGGAGCACCGACGCCCGGANCAGACCUUUUGUGACGGAUCCGCGGUAGAGCAUGUAUGUUGGGACCCGAAAGAUGGUGAACUAUGCCUGAAUAGGGUGAAGCCAGA